rnacentral:rRNA from 1 species
GCAGUAGCCACGGGAAUACGAAGGGUGCAAGCGUUAAUCGGAAUUACUGGGCGUAAAGCGUGCGUAGGCGGUUUGUUAAGUCUGCUGUGAAAUCCCCGGGCUCAACCUGGGAAUGGCAGUGGAUACUGGCAAGCUAGAGUGUGUCAGAGGAUGGUGGAAUUCCCGGUGUAGAGGUGAAAUUCGUAGAUAUUCGGAAGAACACCAGUGGCGAAGGCGGCUUACUGGCUCAUUCUAGACGCUGAGGUGCGAAAGCGUGGGGAGCAAACAGGAUUAGAUACCCGUGUAGUCCCUGUCUCUUAUAU